CAUCGUCCGAUGCACAUGUGGCUGCUGCAGGUUUUUCUUGCUGCUUCAGCCCUUUGCUCUUAUGGAGCUGCACAAAGCCUCAGGCAGCCAAAACCUUCCACAAGCAACAAAGUGCAAACAACUGCGAGAAUUAGCUGCAGUUUUUCUGGCUCAGACUUCCAGAAUACUCCCAUUCACUGGUACCAACAGAAACCCGGUGAACCUCCAACGCGCAUUCUGUAUGUGGCAACAGGAGAAGCUGUUUUUGAUAAACCGGAUGAUGGAGAUGUGUUUUGGGCAGAGAAGAGCAAGCUGAAUCCCAUCUGCACUCUGACAAUAAAGCGAAUAACGAAGCAGCAGGAGGCAACCUAUUAUUGUGCUUACUGGGUCUACACAACCAUAGAAAACUGUUAAGCAGCCUGUACAGAAACCUCCU